AUACGUAGGGGGCAAGCGUUGUCCGGAAUUAUUGGGCGUAAAGCGCGCGCAGGCGGCUUCUUAAGUCAGGUGUGAAAGCCCACGGCUCAACCGUGGAGGGCCACUUGAAACUGGGAGGCUUGAGUGCAGGAGAGGAGAGCGGAAUUCCACGUGUAGCGGUGAAAUGCGUAGAGAUGUGGAGGAACACCUGUGGCGAAGGCGGCUCUCUGGCCUGUAACUGACGCUGAGGCGCGAAAGCGUGGGGAGCGAACAGGAUUAGAUACCCUGGUAGUCCACGCCGUAAACGAUGAGUGCUAGGUGUUGGGGUCUCCAAACCUCAGUGCCGCAGCUAACGCAAUAAGCACUCCGCCUGGGGAGUACGGCCGCAGGGCUGAA
rnacentral:rRNA from 1 species